CCUUUGCCACGACUCCGGCGCCCUUCUAUCUCAGGAAACUUCGCGACAAUCAAGUUGUGGAUGUCGACCACCGCGCGAGAUUUCUUUCUCAUCCAGCAGUUUAAUUCCUUUUCAUGGGGAGUAGAAUACUGGGAAUGACGAUUUGUACACCAGAAUAAAAGGGGGGGAGGGGGGAAUCUCUUUGUACAAUAUCUAGUGGAGUAGCACAAAUAAAUACAUGGCAUAGAUCAGACGGCACAAUUAACUAAAAUUGAUAUGCAUCAUGACAUGCAUAUAUAUCCUCUUCCCACCUUGUUAUCAUAUUCUGUCGUAUACUUGGGUAAUAUUUGGGGGUUGCUUCCAGUCUAUUCAGAUCAACCUGCCACAAUGCUUAAAAUAACACCAAUUAUUCAAUA